rnacentral:rRNA from 1 species
UACGGAGGGGGCUAGCGUUGUUCGGAAUCACUGGGCGUAAAGCGCGCGUAGGCGGCUUUGUAAGUUAGAGGUGAAAGCCCGGAGCUCAACUCCGGAACUGCCUUUAAGACUGCAUCGCUAGAAUUGUGGAGAGGUGAGUGGAAUUCCGAGUGUAGAGGUGAAAUUCGUAGAUAUUCGGAAGAACACCAGUGGCGAAGGCGACUCACUGGACACAUAUUGACGCUGAGGUGCGAAAGCGUGGGGAGCAAACAGG